UGAUAAUUAGUUUAAAUCAAAACAAGUGAUUUCGACUCA
rnacentral:tRNA from 1 species